AUGGAAAGUGCCUGGUACCUGGGAUUUUUGAUCCCAGGGAACCUCAUUUGCAGAGCAGUGGAUCACACAGAUCCUGAACUCAAUGAAUGGUCAUAUCUUUCCCUAAGUUUAUGUUCAUUCUGUCCUCUGAGAUUAUCUUUGAAGCCUCGUUAUGUAGAUGUCUGUAAAAAUCCUUCAAGCUAUGGACAGCCAAGGUCAGAGGCAUAUUUUGUCAUAAGUGGCUAUUUCUAAACUCAGGUUUGAGAUAUAUAAAGAUAAACCAGAUUCCUUUAUGUUAAUUUCCUUCCAGUUCUGCCAUCUAAGGACCCUGCCCUUUCCCAAAAGUGUAUCUUGAGAAGGAAAAUAUGGCUGCUCUCUGCCAGACAGCAGAGUCCCAGGUGAGUUGGGGAUUUUCCUCUCUUCUCGGAAAUCUUAUUUUAAUUCCUGAAGCAAAUUUCUUUCUCUUAGUGUGAAGCUUGUCGAUUUCAUUAGCCAUAGCAGUUUGAAAGGAAAGGAUCAAGUGGUGGGAUGGACUGCCAACAAGAUGGUGUUUGGGGGUUCCACAGUUGUAUGGAAGUAGCAG
rnacentral:lncRNA from 1 species